GUCAUCGCGGAGCCAAAAAACGGAAAAAGUCGUGCGCGCGUGAUCUCCUGUUGUGGCCUUUUUGAGGGCGAAAAUUGUGUUUGUCGGUACACUGCCGAACGGAAGUGACCCCUGCUGGUAUAGGCGAGCAGCGAUUGGAUCGAGGCUGCCGAAGGGUGUUGUCAUCCGCAAAAACACCGUGCAGCGUUUCGCCCCUGCCGCUUGUAUCAUAGGCGGAGUUAUUGCUUCCUGGGAACAGCAUCUUAAGGACAAGCACGUCGCUCAAACCGACACCACACCAUCCGACUGUCCGCGUGGUCCGACGGAGAAAACAUCCGGCUCAAUUCGGAUAUCCACACUCCUCAUUCCGGAACCCAAAGCUCCAGCAGGAACCGGUUAUUUCGGAGAAUUGAGCGGAAUCCCUCGUUCGACAAACUGCUGCAAACUGCAAGCAGCUGCUCAUUUGGCCUAAAGCAGACCACUCAUAGCAGGCCACGAUUUUCGGAAGCAACUGAUCCUGCGCACAAUCUAGCGGUCGAAUCGUAGAACUGGGAAGAAGCAACGCAACACAACCAAGCCCCGAUAGAGGGGCUUUGUUGUGGCUCUGUCUUUUUGUUUAUUUUCCCCAGCAGCUUCGGUCGGUGGUGUCGGCAUCAGACGUCGCUUCCAGUAAGAGGAGAGAGCUUGGUCCUGGCGUAAGAACGCUCCACCAACUUCAACAAGUCCGGUUCCCGGUGACUUGGCUGGCCAUCCCUGGUCCUUCGUCGGCAUCAUCCAGCAGCGUUCGGAAGGGCGGUACCCAACGUUUGCUUGGCCCAUUCAGGCCAUUAAGCAGAAGGUUCCACAUCCGGAACGGAGUGCCGGUUCGAGCAAAGGAUCGUGGUAAAGCACAUCAUCAUCCAGCAGCGUUCGGAAGGGCGGUACCCAACGCUUGCUUGGCCAUCCCAGGCCACGGAUUGCGGGCAAGCAGUCAUCACGAACACCGUUAGAAGGGUGUCAUUCAGCAACUAGGAACGUGGGAGGAACUGAACCGUAGAAAGCCUGCACCAGAAAUGAACCCAGCUGAUCUGGAACUCCGGGAUUCACUUCUCACCUCUUCAGGCAAGAACUCCGGACGGUGCAUGUGCUGACGUCAUACGAUGACAAAAAGUGAGUAGCAAAUGAUCACCCUGAAUACAUAAAAUGAUGAAAAUUA